UUUAAGUUUAGUUGUAAUUUCUGUCCAAUGCUUGACCAUUCGUUAUAUUUGAAUUUUGUUAUGAUUAGUGUUUUUUAUUAGAUGAUAAAACAUGAAUAUUAUUUUAUGUGUGAUUUUUUUAAUUUUUUUAUUUUUUUAAAUAAGAUGGACGGUUAAACAUACACACAGAAACUGAUAGCUGCACUGGGA
rnacentral:pre_miRNA from 1 species